rnacentral:rRNA from 1 species
GAUGAACGCUGGCGGCGUGCCUAAUACAUGCAAGUCGAGCGAACGGACGAGAAGCUUGCUUCUCUGAUGUUAGCGGCGGACGGGUGAGUAACACGUGGAUAACCUACCUAUAAUACUGGGAUAACUUCGGGAAACCGGAGCUAAUACCGGAUGAUAUUUUGAACCGCAUGGUUCAAAAGUGAAAGACGGUCUUGCUGUCACUUAUAGAUGGAUCCGCGCUGCAUUAGCUAGUUGGUAAGGUAACGGCUUACCAAGGCAACGAUGCAUAGCCGACCUGAGAGGGUGAUCGGCCACACUGGAACUGAGACACGGUCCAGACUCCUACGGGAGGCAGCAGUAGGGAAUCUUCCGCAAUGGGCGAAAGCCUGACGGAGCAACGCCGCGUGAGUGAUGAAGGUCUUCGGAUCGUAAAACUCUGUUAUUAGGGAAGAACAUAUGUGUAAGUAACUGUGCACAUCUUGACGGUACCGAAUCAGAAAGCCACGGCUAACUACGUG